AUGGGUGAGCAAAAAGAAGGUGCCAAGAGCGAGGUUGCUCGCUCUCGUGAUAAUUACAUGUCAUGGAGUGAUGAUUGUACCAAGUAUAUGCUUGAGUGGUAUAUCGAGAAGCAAAGGGACAAGCCACCAACCUUCAAGUGGAAGGCAUAACACCAUCUACAAUGUGCUAAUGAUUUGAAUGACAAGUUUGGAAUUACAGCUACAGCGAAACAAGUUGAUCGACACUAUAGGUCAUUCAAGGAGAAAUGGAAGUGGAUAAAGCUAGCAAAGGGGAGGAGUGGAUAUGGUUUCGAUAAACUACUUAACAAAUUUAACAUUGACAAGUCAGAGAAAUCACCAAGCAAGCUUGGCAAAAUUAAAUUUAACUACCUUACUCACUCCAUCAAGUUUUAUCAUCUCUUGGAAGAACUGUUUAGUGACUCGUCUCAUGCGGAUGGCUCACUAGCUAUUGAUGUGAAUGAUGCAAGUGAGAAUGUGGAAUCUGAUGCUAGUAGUGAAACAAGCAACCACACAUCCACUGCUGAACAAGGUCUUAGUGAUUCCGACAUGAUUGCACCCAACAGUCCAGCAGAAGGCACUAGCUCAAAUCUGAAGCGCAAGCAUGUUAAAGCACCACAUAAGAAACCAAAGGUCAAGGCGCAUCGAGCCAGAGUGUUAGAUGAUGAUGUGGCAUCGAGCAUUGUGAGUCUUGCUGAAACUGUGAAAUCUGCUGCCCCUAUUCAGCCAAUAGGAGCUACAAACCCUAAUGCCAAUCUUUAGAAGCACAUUGAGUCGCUAACUCUUCCAGCAAAUGAGAAAAUUGAGUUAGCAACCUAUCUUGCUAAGCCAGAACAAGAAGUUUUCCGUGCUUUCCUGAACUGUGCUAGCGACCAGACUUUUAAUGCUUGGGUCCUUGAUUAUUUCGGGCACAAGUAUGACGGCAAUGAUCGCGCAGCUGCUGAUCCAUCAACCUGA
rnacentral:rRNA from 1 species